ensembl:lncRNA
AACUGCCUGUGAGAAAAGCUGGAACGUCAUCUCAGCAGCUUUGAUGAAAAAAAUGAAUGCACCUCUAACCUCUACAGGCAGAUCAUAGAUUCCAUUUUCCAGCUGCAUAAUGAAAACAGAAUUCUCAGAGAAUACCAGAGACUUCCCCGACUUGCCUGAAUCAAAUUUCCAUAGGUUUCUCCAAAAGGUGAACCUGCCUGCAAUGCCCAGGAAGCCUGCCAGAUGCACAAGUCAAAACUGAUCUAGAGAAGUAUGCUGUGCUCCCUGAGAAGUGCGGAGCCACUGGAACCACAACCAGCUUCAGACAGGAGCCAAUGAGGCCAUCAAAACCCUCAACAGAGGCAUCUGUGACAGCAUGGCUCUGGAGAGAUGGCCACAGGAACCAUGGCAGUGGACCAGGUUGCUGGGAGAAGGCAAAAGGGGAGACACCCAAGCUGAGAAGGGGCUAAGCAUCAGCCCCUGAGACCACCAACAGCAGGCCUGAGACCCAUACAGGAAACCAGACACCCUGGAUGAAAUUUCUUUCAAGCAAGGCCCGUGGUCCCUGACAGAGCACCAGAUUUUUCCCACUAAAACCUUUCGCAUCUGCCCUGGUUCCAUCUUAGUUGGAACUCUUUGUUCUCA